rnacentral:rRNA from 2 species
AUAUCAAUAAGCGGAGGAAAAGAAACCAACAGGGAUUGCCCCAGUAACGGCGAGUGAAGCGGCAACAGCUCAAAUUUGAAAUCUGGCCCCUCCGGGGUCCGAGUUGUAAUUUGCAGAGGAAGUUUCGGCGUUGGCCCCGGGUUAAGUCCCCUGGAACGGGGCGCCCUAGAGGGUGAGAGCCCCGUACUCACCCGGGUGCACUUCGCCGUGUGAAGCUCCUUCGACGAGUCGAGUUGUUUGGGAAUGCAGCUCUAAGCGGGAGGUAUAUUUCUUCUAAAGCUAAAUACCGGCCAGAGACCGAUAGCGCACAAGUAGAGUGAUCGAAAGAUGAAAAGCACUUUGGAAAGAGAGUUAAAAAGCACGUGAAAUUGUUGAAAGGGAAGCUCUUGCCGCCAGACUUGCCGCGGUCGCUCAGCCGCCCUCCGGGGCGGUGUACUCUUCCGUCGGCAGGCCAGCGUCGGUUCGGGCGGUCGGAUAAAGGCCUCGGGAAUGUAGCACCCCUCGGGGUGUGUUAUAGCCCGGGGUGCAAUGCGGCCAGCCCGGUCCGAGGCACGCGUUCGCGAGGACGCUGGCGUAAUGGCCGCAAGCGACCCGUCUUGAAACACGGACCAAGGAGUCUAACAUCUGUGCGAGUGUUUGGGUCUCACACCCAUGCGCGCAAUGAAAGUGAACGGAGGUGGGAACCCCCCCGGAGGGGCGCACCAUCGACCGAUCCUGAUGUCUUCGGAUGGAUUUGAGUAAGAGCAUAGCUGUUGGGACCCGAAAGAUGGUGAACUAUUCCCGGAUAGGGUGAAGCCAGAGGAAACUCUGGUGGAGGCUCGCAGCGGUUCUGACGUGCAAAUCGAUCGUCAAAUCUAGGAAUAGGGGCGAAAGACUAAUCGAACCAU